rnacentral:rRNA from 1 species
GUAGGGAAUAUUGGGCAAUGGUCGGAAGACUGACCCAGCCAUGCCGCGUGCAGGAAGACGGCCCUCUGGGUUGUAAACUGCUUUUAUCUGGGAAGAAAAAGGCCAUGCGUGGCAAAUUGCCGGUACCAGAUGAAUAAGCACCGGCUAACUCCGUGCCAGCAGCCGCGGUAAUACGGAGGGUGCGAGCGUUGUCCGGAUUUAUUGGGUUUAAAGGGUGCGUAGGCGGCUGAUUAGGUCAGCGGUGAAAGACUUCGGCUUAACCGGAGCAGUGCCGUUGAUACUGGUUGGCUUGAGUGUCGGAGGGGUACAUGGAAUUGAUGGUGUAGCGGUGAAAUGCAUAGAUACCAUCAGGAACACCGAUAGCGAAGGCAUUGUACUGGCCGACAACUGACGCUGAUGCACGAAAGUGUGGGGAUCGAACAGGAUUAGAAACCCCAGUAGUCC